AGCUCAAUGGUAGAGCACAGCAUUCUGGAUGCUGAUGCGAAGGUUCGAAUCCUUCUCGAA
rnacentral:tRNA from 1 species